GUGUUAGUUCGUCUAACACAUGUACUAAAAUUGGAACGAUACAGAGAAGAUUAGCAUGGCCCCUGGCGCAAGGAUGACACGCAAAUUCGUGAAGCGUUCUCAAUUUUU